CAAAUGACUCUUUUCAGAGUCACCCCGCCUAAAUAAAACAACUAA
rfam:Helobdella robusta unplaced genomic scaffold HELROscaffold_81, whole genome shotgun sequence.